AAGUCGUAACAAGGUUUCCGUAGGUGAACCUGCGGAAGGAUCAUUAACACGUAUCCAACGUAAAACAACCCUGUGAACCUUCAAACGUGAUCUCGUACACGCUCUAGCAGCAAUCCCUGGUAAAUCAUCGAUGACCAGCAAUUGAGUGAGGGACCUCUGCUAGAAAACCAUACGAUAUGGAUCGCCGGAUAAAGCGGCCUGGCAUCCUAGCAAUCUGUCAGUGGUUGCGCAAGGAUGGCGCAGUAAACGAUCGCUGGAGGCCCACACGGCCGGCGACCGGGCCUCUGUGCCUUGAGCACCUAACGACCCUAUGUUUCUGACCCGGUGCGCUGUAACAACCGCACCACAAACUCGAACAACUGUUAACAAUGGAUAUCUUGGUUCUC
rnacentral:misc_RNA from 1 species